rnacentral:rRNA from 1 species
UACAGAGGUGGCUAGCGUUGUUCGGAUUCAUUGGGUGUAAGGGGUGCGUAGGCGGCUUGAAAAGUCAGAUGUGAAAGCCCGCAGCUCAACUGCGGAAUUGCAUUUGAAACUCUCAGGCUAGAGUGAGAGAGAGGUGAAGGGAAUUCCCGGUGUAAGGGUGAAAUCUGCAGAUAUCGGGAGGAACACCAGUAGCGAAGGCGCUGCACUGGCUCGCAACUGACGCUGAGUGCACGAAGGCGUGGGGAGCAAACGGG